AAACCUCAGAGAUGCCAGCAACCGUGAAGCCCCAAGCGGUGUUACAGCUUUUGCUCAGGGAUUCCCAAGGUCUGAGUCCCCAGGAAAUGUUAAAGUUCUCACUUGGUCCUGCCAUCUGAAGCUCAGUAAGCAGGGCCAUGUGGAGCCCGCAGCUUUUUUUCCCCGACUGCUCGCCAAGCGGGAGGGAGUGUUACAGUGUUAUAACUCUUUUCGUACCUGCUGUUUGGUGUGUUCCAGGUUCUUGUCCCAUGACCAAGAGGAAUAAGACAUGGAAACUGGAGAGUGAGCAAGGUAGAGAAGGGUUUUAUUGAAUGACAGGAAAGCUCUUGACACAAGAAGGGAUCUGAAGUAGGUAGCCCUCUGUAUGAGAGGGGGCCCCAAAAUAUGUAGCCAUCUGUGAGGCGGAGUCUAGGGUUUUUAUGGGGUCAGAAUGGGGGAGUGAGUGCUGACUGGUCCGUGGAAGCCCCUGGCCAAAAGGCCAUUCCAUUGGCUAAAAGGCAUCAAGAAGGUUCUCACUCUGGUUAUGAGUGAAAACGUAGAACCCAGAAUGGCAGCUCGGUUUUCAGGCUUUGGGCUGUCUUUGGCUUGAAGGUUGUUUUACCAGAGACCUGUCCCUAUCUGCCUAGGAAUUUGUUUGCCUCCUGCCGCUAUCAACAGGGUCUUGCUCCACGACCCAGGCUGGAGUGCAGUGGUGUAAUCACGGCUCACUGCAGCCUCAACCUCCAGGCUCAAGCCAUCCUCUCACCUCAGCCUCCUGCAUAGCUGGGACUACGGGCAUGCACCACCACACCUGGCUAAUUUUUAUAUUUUUAGUAGAGAUGGGAUUUCACCAUGUUGGCCAGGUUGGUCUCCAACUCCUGGACUCAAGUGCUCCACCAGCCUUGGCCUCCCAAGUGCUGGGAUUACGGGCGUGAGCCACCACGCUAGGCCCAGAAAUGUAUUUUCUUGCAGUCCUGGAGGGUGGUUAUCCAAGAUCAAGGUGCCAGCAGAGUUAGGUUCCCCUCAGGUUUCUUUCCUUGGCUUGCACGUGGCUGCUCUCCUGCUGCUGCUUCACACAGUCACCUCUCUUUGGGUGUGCACCCCUGGUGCCUCUCCCUCUUCUUACAAGGAUAUUAGUCAGAUUAGAUUAGGGCCCCAUCCAAAGACCUCAUUUAAGCUAAUUACCUUGUUUUAAAAAAUUAAAAACAAAUAGAGGCAGGGUCUCACUAUGUUGUCCAAGUUGGUCUUGAACUCCUGGUCUUGAACUUCCUUUUUCAGUUUGUCAGAAGGAAAAGAAAUUAGAUUUCAGAGUCAUUUGACAAGAGAUGGGAGGGGGCAAGGAAAUAAUUAUUAGUCAUCUUUUCAGAAGUUCUGUAGGUUUAUCUCAGAGGAAAACCCAUGGGAGUUCACAUUACAGUAUUUUCAUUUGAAGGUAGGACAAGGAAUGGGCUUGGUAGCUAUAGUUUCUCUCCAAGUCUAGGAAUGCAUAACAUUUGUAGGUUUUUGUCUCGAAGGGCGUCUUGUGUAGCAGUAGAAGCCAAAUUCAUUACAAAGGAGAGGCUGGAGCAAGUUGUCAUGUGAUGCUGCCAGCUUGCCAGGUCAGGAAUUGCCACCAAAGCCCAGCUGCCUGGCAGUCCCGUGGUCCCCUGCCAAGAUAAACUCUAGCAAAAACCCUUUAUCGACCUGCAGAAACCAGAUGACAGGCUUUGCUUUUCAAAGGAGAGAGAUCAUGUCAGAACCUCUGGAAUUAAAAGUCCAGAUUAUUUUAAAAGGACUGGAUAUAAUGCUAUUCGUUCAAAGGAUUUCUUUCUAUAUUAUAUAAUUUUUUUUCAAGGUGCAUAUGAUUAUUCAGUAGUCU
ensembl:lncRNA